AGUGUGAUAGCUGGGUCAAAUGGUAGUUUUAUUCCAAGUUUUAUAAGGAAUCUCCAUACUACUUUCCAUAUUGGCUGCACCAAUUUGCAGUACUACCAGCAAU
rnacentral:pre_miRNA from 1 species